GACGAACGCUGGCGGCGUGCCUAAUACAUGCAAGUAGAACGCUGAAGGAGGAGCUUGCUUCUCUGGAUGAGUUGCGCACGGGUGAGUAACGCGUAGGUAACCUGCCUGGUAGCGGCGGAUAACUAUUGGAAACGAUAGCUAAUACCGCAUAAGAGUAGAUGUUGCAUGACAUUUGCUUAAAAGGUGCAAUUUCAUCACUACCUGAUGGACCUGCGUUGUAUUAGUAAGUUGGUGGGGUAACGGCUCACCAAGGCGACGAAACAUAGCCGACGUGAUAGGGUGACGGCCACACUGGGACUGGGGCACGGGUCAGGCCUCCAAGGGGAGGAGCAGGAGGGGAAUUUUGGCAAUUGGGCGAAGUCUUACCGGAGAACGGCGGGUGAGGGAAGGAGGUUUUCCGAUUGGAAAACUCCGUUGUAAGGGGAGGACGAGUUGGAGAGUUAAAAGUUCACACUGUGACGGUACCUAACCAGAAAGGGACGGCUAACUACGUG
rnacentral:rRNA from 1 species